UCAUUUUUGCCUUACAACCAUACUGCUGGAAACUCAUAAAUCUAAAAAAGAGUAGGUAGCCACAUGAGCCUGUAGUAGCUGUUUACCCAGUUUUUCUGAAACAUUAACGUAUUUAAUAGAGUCAAAGUAAAGACUGUUAUCACAUUAGAAUGAAGGUAUGCAUGUAUUUAAUCAGUUUUUUUUUCUUCUUAGACUGCCAAGGAAAUCUGAUGUGGAAAGGAAAAUAGAAAUAGUGCAGUUUGCUAGCCGGACACGCCAACUCUUCGUUCGAUUAUUAGCUUUAGUGAAAUGGGCUAAUAAUGCUGGCAAAGUGGAAAAAUGUGCGGUGAGUUAAACUUUUUAUUUUACUUUGUAUAAAAUAACUUCGAAUGUUAUGAUAGACAUAGUUUUACAUUUUAGCUUUAACUUAUCCCUGCUGAUUUGAGUGACAUGUGAAUAAUCGUAUUUCUGAAUGAUAAUGUAUAUUUCUGCAGAAACUUAGUAUUUGUUUGUGGACACCUGAUCAGAAAGAAGAGAUAGCUGGAGACAUCAUUAUGUG
rnacentral:sRNA from 1 species